GACGAACGCUGGCGGCGUGCUUAACACAUGCAAGUCGAGCGGUAAGGCCCUUUCGGGGGUACACGAGCGGCGAACGGGUGAGUAACACGUGGGUGACCUGCCCUCAGCUCUGGGAUAAGCCUGGGAAACUGGGUCUAAUACUGGAUAUGACUCCACGGUGCAUGUCGUGGGGUGGAAAGCCUUGUGCGGCUGAGGAUGGGCCCGCGGCCUAUCAGCUUGUUGGUGGGGUGAGGCCUACCAAGGCGACGACGGGUAGCCGGCCUGAGAGGGCGACCGGCCACACUGGGACUGAGACACGGCCCAGACUCCCACGGGAGGCAGCAGUGGGGAAUCUUGCGCAAUGGGCGAAAGCCUGACGCAGCGACGCCGCGUGAGGGAUGACGGCCUGG
rnacentral:rRNA from 1 species